rnacentral:rRNA from 1 species
AGAGUUUGAUCCUGGCUCAGGAUGAACGCUAGCGGCAGGCUUAACACAUGCAAGUCGAGGGGCAGCGGGUUGUAGCAAUACAAUGCCGGCGACCGGCGGAAGGGUGCGUAACGCGUGAGCAACCUGCCCGUAUCCGGGACAUAAGCGGUGGAAACGCCGUCUAAUUUCCCAUAACAACGAGGAUCGCAUGGUCCAUGUUUGAAAGAUCCGUCGGAUACGGAUGGGCUCGCGAGACAUUAGCUAGUCGGCGUGGUAACGGCACACCGAGGCGACGAUGUCUAGGGGUUCUGAGAGGAAGGUCCCCCACACUGGAACUGAGACACGGUCCAGACUCCUACGGGAGGCAGCAGUGAGGAAUAUUGGUCAAUGGACGGAAGUCUGAACCAGCCAUGCCGCGUGCAGGAUUAAGGCCCUAUGGGUCGUAAACUGCUUUUGUGGUGGAGCAAUAAGGCGUACGUGUACGCCGAUGAGAGUACAUCACGAAUAAGCAUCGGCUAACUCCGUGCCAGCAGCCGCGGUAAUACGGAGGAUGCAAGCGUUAUCCGGAUUUAUUGGGUUUAAAGGGUGCGUAGGCUGUUCGACAAGUCAGGGGUGAAAGCCCGGCGCCUAACGCCGGAACUGCCUUUGAUACUGCCGAGCUGGAAUACGGAUGCCGUGGGAGGAAUGAGUAGUGUAGCGGUGAAAUGCAUAGAUAUUACUCAGAACACCGAUUGCGAAGGCAUCUCACGAAUCCGUCAUUGACGCUGAGGCACGAAAGCGUGGGGAUCAAACAGGAUUAGAUACCCUGGUAGUCCACGCAGUAAACGAUGAUAACUAACCGUCGGCGAUACACAGUCGGUGGCCAAGCGAAAGCGAUAAGUUAUCCACCUGGGGAGUACGUUCGCAAGAAUGAAACUCAAAGGAAUUGACGGGGGCCCGCACAAGCGGAGGAACAUGUGGUUUAAUUCGAUGAUACGCGAGGAACCUUACCCGGGCUCGAACGGCAGGUGAAGAGAUCCAGAGAUGGUGACGUCCUUCGGGACACCUGUCGAGGUGCUGCAUGGUUGUCGUCAGCUCGUGCCGUGAGGUGUCGGCUUAAGU